rnacentral:tRNA from 1 species
GCUCGGGUAGACCAAUUUGGCAGAGUCAACGGUCUGAGAGGCCGUGUAGCGUGGGUUCGACCCCCACUCCGAGCACCA